GAUGAACGCUGGCGGCGUGCCUAAUACAUGCAAGUUGAGCGAACAGAUGAGAAGCUUGCUUCUCUGAUGUUAGCGGCGGACGGGUGAGUAACACGUGGGUAACCUACCUAUAAGACUGGGAUAACUCCGGGAAACCGGGGCUAAUACCGGAUAAUAUUUUGAACCGCAUGGUUCAAUAGUGAAAGACGGUUUCGGCUGUCACUUAUAGAUGGACCCGCGCCGUAUUAGCUAGUUGGUAAGGUAACGGCUUACCAAGGCGACGAUACGUAGCCGACCUGAAGGGGUGAUCGGCCGCACUGGAACUGAGACACGGUCCAGACUCCUACAGGAGGCAGCAGUAGGGAAUCUUCCGCAAUGGGCGAAAGCCUGACGGAGCAACGCCGCGUGAGUGAUGAAGGUCUCCGGAUCGUAAAACUCUGUUGUUAGGGAAGAACAAAUUUGUUAGUAACUGGACAAGUCUUGACGGUACCUAACCAGAAAGCCACGGCUAACUACGUGCCAGCCGCCGCGGUAA
rnacentral:rRNA from 1 species